rnacentral:rRNA from 1 species
UUGGGAGCUCACUGGCUUCGGAGUCCUGAGAACUCCGAAGUUAAGUGAGUUUGGGCUAGAGCAAUCCCAAGAUGGGUGACCAACUGGGAAGUUGCUCGUGAGCUCCUAAA